AGGUAAUGAGCUUGAAUAAGUAUAUAUUUUGAAAAUAUAUCAUAGAAUUAAUUAAAAUUUUAUUAUCUA
rnacentral:tRNA from 1 species